UUAUAAUAUAUGCUUACCUUUAUCUAACGGUCAACUAUUAAACACACAAAACAUUUUUUUUUUUUUGCAAUUAAAAAGAUAUGUUUGUAAUCAAAUAUAUUUCCCAAUGAGGAAAAGGUUUAAAUGCUUUUUUUUCGUUCUAAUUAUCAGUGUUAUAGAAGAAGAUCAGAAAACCAUAUUUCAGAAUUAAACGUGUUAAGCGAGUACCUAGAUAAAGGAACAUUAGUGAUAAAUGCUACUCUUUUUAAAAAUGUUUAUCGAAUAACUUGGAGAUCAUUGAUAUAAGUUGAUUAAUUGUGUGAUAACGAAAUGAAUUAAUUAAAUUCUAAGGAAGAGCGUUCAAGACAAAAAUAUAACAUUUUCAAAGCAGUCACUCGGAUCUAUUACAGUUAAUUAUGACUAUACUACCGGCUACAUAAUUUAAGUCUGACAAAAACCUUCUCCUUGAUGAAGAAUAAAGGACAUAGAUUAAAAUCUAGUUUAUUAGGUCGUGUUUUCCUUAUCUUUAGAAAUUGUUUAACCUCGAAUAUACAUUAAUGUCCUGUAAAACGAAAACCUAUUUGAAAUUUAGUUCGUCAACGGUGCCAAUUAUGUACAU